rnacentral:rRNA from 1 species
UAGGCGCACGGGUGAGUAACACGUGAAUUAUCUACCUCCGAGUGGGGAAUAACUGAGAGAAAUCUUAGCUAAUACCGCAUAACACUUACGAGUCAAAGCAGCAAUGCGCUUGGAGAGGAGUUCGCGGCCGAUUAGUUAGUUGGCGGGGUAAUGGCCCACCAAGACGAUGAUCGGUAUCCGGCCUGAGAGGGCGCACGGACACACUGGAACUGAAACACGGUCCAG